CCUUCGGGGUUAGUGGCGGACGGGUGAGUAACACGUGGGAACGUGCCUUUUGGUUCGGAAUAGCUCCUGGAAACGGGUGGUAAUGCCGAAUGUGCCCUUCGGGGGAAAGAUUUAUCGCCAUUAGAGCGGCCCGCGUCUGAUUAGCUAGUUGGUAAGGUAAUGGCUUACCAAGGCGACGAUCAGUAGCUGGUCUGAGAGGAUGACCAGCCACAUUGGGACUGAGACACGGCCCAAACUCCUACGGGAGGCAGCAGUGGGGAAUCUUGCGCAAUGGGCGAAAGCCUGACGCAGCCAUGCCGCGUGAAUGAUGAAGGUCUUAGGAUUGUAAAAUUCUUUCACCGGGGACGAUAAUGACGGUACCCGGAGAAGAAGCCCCGGCUAACUUCGUGCCAGCAGCCGCGGUAAUACGAAGGGGGCUAGCGUUGCUCGGAAUUACUGGGCGUAAAGGGCGCGUAGGCGGACAUUUAAGUCAGGGGUGAAAUCCCAGAGCUCAACUCUGGAACUGCCUUUGAUACUGGGUGUCUUGAGUGUGAGAGAGGUAUGUGGAACUCCGAGUGUAGAGGUGAAAUUCGUAGAUAUUCGGAAGAACACCAGUGGCGAAGGCGACAUACUGGCUCAUUACUGACGCUGAGGCGCGAAAGCGUGGGGAGCAAACAGGAUUAGAUACCCUGGUAGUCCACGCCGUAAACGAUGAUUGCUAGUUGUCGGGCUGCAUGCAGUUCGGUGACGCAGCUAACGCAUUAAGCAAUCCGCCUGGG
rnacentral:rRNA from 1 species